UACGGGGGGAGCAAGCGUUGUUCGGAUUUACUGGGCGUAAAGGGCGCGUAGGCGGCCACUGCAAGUCAGUUGUGAAAUCUCCGGGCUUAACCCGGAAAGGUCAACUGAUACUGCAGGGCUAGAGUGCAGAAGGGGCAACUGGAAUUCUCGGUGUAGCGGUGAAAUGCGUAGAUAUCGAGAGGAACACCUGCGGCGAAGGCGGGUUGCUGGGCUGACACUGACGCUGAAGCGCGAAAGCCAGGGGAGCGAACGGGG
rnacentral:rRNA from 1 species